GAUCAGCUAAAUUUAAGGCUCUUUGAGUGAAAUCCUGUGAAGUUCCAUAGUAGAGACUAUCCCUUUCAAGUGGGGAAUCGUGCAGUAAACCAAACGUCACAAAACUUGACAAGAAAUAAGAGUUGUACUGUACUGUUCAUGUGCUUUCAGCUCCACUGGACUGUAAAAUGUUGUUUGUCAAUUUGCAAGAUGAGACAGGAGCACAACAAACCCACCAGGCUCCAGCUCCCACACACAAGACAAGAAACGUCUGCUUUGCUUCUAACAAAC